CACUGUCGGGUUCACCAGCAAUCUUUUGCAGCCACACUCCAGAAAAUAGAAAGAGUUAUUGAGCCAAUGCAAGAGGCGAUAAAUACAGGCAUAGAGUAGGGCAAGUGAUCCAUCUUGCAGUCAGCUUUGAGUGUCCUGUGGCUUUUAAAACUUUUUGUGUUCUUCUGAUGGAACAUCUGGGGUGUAAAGAUGGCUCUUAGAAGAACAAAAACCUUUCUGUACUCUGCAGUAACACUUGCUGAGUAGAGUGUUUGGAACAAAACAGAAUUAUUUAUGUCGCUUCUUCCACCUUUCCCUUUUUAUAAAAAAAACUGACGCUGCACCUUUAACAACAUUUGGCUACAGAGGAAAAUCAGUAGGUGGAUUUUUUUUCUCCAUCACUUAACUCUGUGGGUUGAAAAGCACUAUCUACCAGGCUGCUGUCAGAAAGGAGAAAAGCUAGCAGUCUUAGAGUGAACAAAAAUACUUGAGGAAUACAAAGAGAAAACAAGAUACCAUUGGCCUUUGUAAAGGAAGGAUCUGUUCUUGAACAUCAUGGGGAUAAUGAUGCCAGAUGGUGGAGCGCAUCGCCAAAAAUGUCACACAUUAUGCAGAACAAGUUGGAUCUGGAGAAGGAACCCAAGUUACUAACAUAGCUUUGCCAUUAUUUUACAACUGAAUACUGUCUUCUGUAAAUUAAAUACUGCAUCUCUUGAAGAUAACACAGUCAGACCCACACAUUUAUGGAGGCAUGGGAUUUAUGGAGGCAUGGCAUGGGAACCCCUGGGGAAAGUGGACAAAAUGUGGAUAUUGUAAAAUAAAAUAAAAAAGCAUGCUAGAGAAUUGUUAACUACCAACAGCCCUGACCCCCUAUCUCAGAUUUUAAAACUAUUUCCCUCAAAUCCAGUGGCUCCAAACCUUUGGGCCUCUAGACUUCAGCUCCCACAGUUCCUAACAGCUGGUAAGCUGGCUGGGAUUUCUGGGAGUUGAAGUCCAAAACACCUGGAGGCCCAAAGGUUGGGAACCACUGCUCCUAUCCAUCUCUUUGUCCCACUCCGUCUGCUGAUCCUUCAUCCCUACAUUGCUAUCCUCCCAACGGCCCCUCGUCUUCUCCAUCACCUUACCACUGCAAAGCCUUAUCCAGAGACUUUAGACCAGGCAUGGGCAAACUUUGGCCCUCCAGGUGUUUUGGACUUCAACUCCCACAGUUCCUAACAACCUAUUGGCUGUUAGG